rnacentral:rRNA from 1 species
GAGUUUGAUCGUGGCUCAGAAUCAACGCUGGCGGCGUGCCUAACACAUGCAAGUCGAGCGGUAGAGAGAAGCUUGCUUCUCUUGAGAGCGGCGGACGGGUGAGUAAUGCCUAGGAAUCUGCCUGGUAGUGGGGGAUAACGCUCGGAAACGGACGCUAAUACCGCAUACGUCCUACGGGAGAAAGCAGGGGACCUUCGGGCCUUGCGCUAUCAGAUGAGCCUAGGUCGGAUUAGCUAGUUGGUGAGGUAAUGGCUCACCAAGGCGACGAUCCGUAACUGGUCUGAGAGGAUGAUCAGUCACACUGGAACUGAGACACGGUCCAGACUCCUACGGGAGGCAGCAGUGGGGAAUAUUGGACAAUGGGCGAAAGCCUGAUCCAGCCAUGCCGCGUGUGUGAAGAAGGUCUUCGGAUUGUAAAGCACUUUAAGUUGGGAGGAAGGGCAGUAAAUUAAUACUUUGCUGUUUUGACGUUACCGACAGAAUAAGCACCGGCUAACUCUGUGCCAGCCG